rnacentral:lncRNA from 1 species
CAAGCCCUUGUACUCAGCUCUGGCUGCUGUGGUCCUGGCCUCCAUCACCUAUCCACCUGCUGUCUAUGUCAGAGUACUUGGAGACACUGUUUGACAACAACUCUUGGGCACUGAUGACCAAGAACUCGUCCCCACCCUGGUCAGCGGAGCCUGAUCCCCAGAACCUGUGGUUGGAAUGGUGUCAUCCACAGAUGACUGUCUUUGGGACACUAGUCUUCUUCCUGGUCAUGAAGUUCUGGAUGCUGAUUUUGGCCACCACCAUCCCCAUCCCCGCAGGAUACUUUUUGCCCAUCUUUGUCUACGGAGCUGCCAUCGGGCGCCUCUUUGGGGAGGUUCUAUCUUUGGCCUUCCCAGAGGGCAUUGUGGCUGGAGGCAAGGUCAGUCCCAUCAUGCCCGGGGCCUAUGCUCUGGCAGGUAAGUGGAUCUGGAACCAGCAGGCGGGCUUACCUCACAGGUUGAUUGCAAACAAAGAAGUUUAUGGAGUAGCCUUUGAGCUGCCCAUAAGAGAGGAUCCCCCUCUCCUCAGUAGGCCUGUCCACUCCCUGAGCCCUCCCAUCCCCCAAGCUCUCUUUCUCUUGUUCUUCUUUUCCCCAAUCCCCCACCUUUCUCCUUGGCAUGACGAGGUAUUUCCGACAGUUACAGUCUGUGCUCUUUGUGCACUGCCGGACCUAACCCUGGUCACACUGUACCCACCUUGCCCUCUGUGAACCUGGCCCCUGGCCUGGGACCCCCACCUUGGCUCUGUCCCUGCAGGUGCUGCUGCCUUCUCAGGGGCGGUGACCCACACCCUCUCCACAGCAUUGCU